rnacentral:lncRNA from 1 species
CACUUUUUAUAAAAAAAAUAUCCGCCGGCACAUUCAACUAAAAGAAAAGACAGCAAAGCAAAUGGAUCAGCACAAUUUUGUCCUAAAAAUAGACAAUAUUUUUUGUUCAAAAAAAAUAAACAAAAAACAUAAACCAGUUUGUAAGAAGGGAAUCUAAGGAAGAAGAAACAAAAUCUAAAAAAAUCUCUCCGGUUUCUUUGGACAAACAGACUUGUCUGAAUCCUAUUUCAAAGGAAAUGGGAUUUUUGUUGAGACAAAGAUUGUGUGGGAGGAGGAAAACAGUCCGAACUUCAAUCUCUUCCUCACAUUUCGACUGCUAAUAAAACAAGCCUCUCCCCAAACCCUUUAUUCUUAGCCUUUCCCUAACAAUGGCUCUAUUAACUUUUCAUCUUUUUAAUUUGUAAAUAACAUUUUUUAAAAAGAAAAAAAAA